UACGUAGGGGGCUAGCGUUGUCCGGAAUCAUUGGGCGUAAAGCGCGUGUAGGCGGUCCGGUAAGUCCGCUGUGAAAGUCGGGGGCUCAACCCUCGAAUGCCGGUGGAUACUGUCGGGCUAGAGUGCGGAAGAGGCGAGUGGAAUUCCUGGUGUAGCGGUGAAAUGCGCAGAUAUCAGGAGGAACACCGGUGGCGAAGGCGGGUCUCUGGGCCGAUACUGACGUGGAGGAGCGAAAGCGUGGGGAGCGAACAGG
rnacentral:rRNA from 1 species